UUUCAUCCAAGUUGCUAUAAAAGACAUUAUUUCAGAACGAUACAGAGAAGAUCAGCAUGGCCCCUGCACAAGGAUGACGUGCAAAUUCGUGAAGCGUUCCAAAAAAAA
rfam:Otolemur garnettii contig016584, whole genome shotgun sequence.